rnacentral:tRNA from 1 species
GCCCGGGUGGUGAAAUCGGUAAACACAGGGGACUUAAAAUCCCCCGGAGGCAACUCCUUGCGGGUUCAAAUCCCGCCCCGGGCACCA